UACGUAGGGGGCUAGCGUUGUCCGGAUUUAUUGGGCGUAAAGAGCGUGUAGGCGGCUUUACAGGUCCGUUGUGAAAACUCGAGGCUCAACCUCGAGACGCCGGUGGAAACCGUAAAGCUGGAGUCCGGAAGAGGAGAGUGGAAUUCCUGGUGUAGCGGUGAAAUGCGCAGAUAUCAGGAGGAACACCGGUGGCGAAGGCGGAUCUCUGGGCCUUACCUGACGCUGAGGCGCGAAAGCUAGGGGAGCGAACAGG
rnacentral:rRNA from 1 species